AGAGCGAACGCUGGCGGCAGGCUUAACACAUGCAAGUCGAGCGGGCGUAGCAAUACGUCAGCGGCAGACGGGUGAGUAACGCGUGGGAACAUACCUUUUGGUUCGGAACAACACAGGGAAACUUGUGCUAAUACCGGAUAAGCCCUUACGGGGAAAGAUUUAUCGCCGAAAGAUUGGCCCGCGUCUGAUUAGCUAGUUGGUGAGGUAACGGCUCACCAAGGCGACGAUCAGUAGCUGGUCUGAGAGGAUGAUCAGCCACAUUGGGACUGAGACACGGCCCAAACUCCUACGGGAGGCAGCAGUGGGAAUAUUGGACAAUGGGCGCAAGCCUGAUCCAGCCAUGCCGCGUGAGUGAUGAAGGCCCUAGGGUUGUAAAGCUCUUUUGUGCGGGAAGAUAAUGACGGUACCGCAAGAAUAAGCCCCGGCUAACUUCGUGCCAGCAGCCGC
rnacentral:rRNA from 1 species